rnacentral:lncRNA from 1 species
GUAAAGAUAGACACAGAAAAAGAAAGCCAGAGACUCAGGAGAUUGGAGGCUUCAUCUGUAUUCAUCAUGGUGUGACAUAAACCAGAGGAGCCACACCUUAAGACAGAAGAGCUCCAGUCUUCACCUUCACUUUGGACAUCAUCUCCCGGCUUCAGGCAGAUUCUUCAGCUUCCAUUGCAGCUCCAACACCCUCCUGAUAUGGACUCCCAUGAGACACUGCAGUGAGCUCCAGACCUUUGACUGGAAGCUUCAGACUCUAGUGUACAAACAAACCCUCUGCACUCUUCCACAUAUGACUCUGUGGUAGGCC